UACGAAGGGGGCUAGCGUUGCUCGGAAUCACUGGGCGUAAAGCGCACGUAGGCGGAUUCCUAAGUCGGGGGUGAAAUCCUGGAGCUCAACUCCAGAACUGCCUUCGAUACUGGGAAUCUUGAGUCCGGAAGAGGUGAGUGGAACUGCGAGUGUAGAGGUGAAAUUCGUAGAUAUUCGCAAGAACACCAGUGGCGAAGGCGGCUCACUGGUCCGGUACUGACGCUGAGGUGCGAAAGCGUGGGGGAGCAAACAGGG
rnacentral:rRNA from 1 species